rnacentral:rRNA from 1 species
ACGGGUGAGUAACGCGUGGGAAUCUACCCAUCUCUACGGAAUAACGCAUGGAAACGUGUGCUAAUACCGUAUACGUCCUUCGGGAGAAAGAUUUAUCGGAGAUGGAUGAGCCCGCGUUGGAUUAGCUAGUUGGUGGGGUAAAGGCCUACCAAGGCGACGAUCCAUAGCUGGUCUGAGAGGAUGAUCAGCCACACUGGGACUGGGACACGGCCCAGACUCCUACGGGAGGCAGCAGUGGGGAAUAUUGGACAAUGGGCGCAAGCCUGAUCCAGCCAUGCCGCGUGAGUGAUGAAGGCCCUAGGGUUGUAAAGCUCUUUCACCGGUGAAGAUAAUGACGGUAACCGGAGAAGAAGCCCCGGCUAACUUCGUGCCAGCAGCCGCGGUAAUACGAAGGGGGCUAGCGUUGUUCGGAUUUACUGGGCGUAAAGCGCUCGUAGGCGGACUAUUAAGUCAGGGGUGAAAUCCCGGGGCUCAACCCCGGAACUGCCUUUGAUACUGGUAGUCUUGAGUUCGAGAGAGGUGAGUGGAAUUCCGAGUGUAGAGGUGAAAUUCGUAGA